GGCUUUGUUAUUGUUGUAGCUUGUUGCCUUCCGUUUUGAGCCACGACCUUUCUUGUUUUCUUUAACGCUUUUCUCUUCAUCUUCCAUCACUUUCGUUGUUGUGAUGUUAUCCAUCUUCUCCAGUAGAAACUCAGAGUAAAGCUGUGUCUGGGUAAGAAGCUCAUCCAGCUUGGUAAACUGAGUGUCAUUCAAGAUGGGGACUUCCUU
rnacentral:misc_RNA from 1 species